CUCAAACCACACAAGUAGCACUGUCACAUCCCAGAAUCGCCACCACCACUGAUGUUGAUGAUGCUGAUUGAAAUCAUCACAACCAUCUUUCAAAAUGUUGUGCUGAUUACUUGUUCAGGAAUUCAAUUAAUGGGCCAUUGAAGCGUGAGAAUGAUACACAACUUGAGCUUUUGGUACUGCCACAUCAUAUUUCACCUAAAUUUCUUUUUUGCUGCUUAUUAGUUUGUUAACCAUCUCAUUUGUAAAUAUUGUUUAUGAUGAUGUAUCUAUCAACAUAUUUAGA